rnacentral:tRNA from 1 species
UCCCGAGUAGUGUAGGGGUUAACAUACUCCGCUUUCAAGAUCGUUAUGCGAUCUGAGAUCCGGAGAGCCCCGGGUUCGAUUCCGCUCGGGAA